rnacentral:rRNA from 1 species
GACGAACGCUGGCGGCGUGCCUAAUACAUGCAAGUCGAGCGGACCUUCGGGGUUAGCGGCGGACGGGUGAGUAACACGUGGGUAAUCUGCCCAACUGACUGGAAUAACGCCUGGAAACGGGUGCUAAUGCCGGAUAGGCAACUGGUAGGCAUCUACCGGUUGGGAAAGGUGCAACUGCACCGCAGAUGGAGGAGCCCGCGGCGCAUUAGCUAGUUGGUGGGGUAACGGCCUACCAAGGCGACGAUGCGUAGCCGACCUGAGAGGGUGGACGGCCACACUGGGACUGAGACACGGCCCAGACUCCUACGGGAGGCAGCAGUAGGGAAUCUUCCGCAAUGGGCGCAAGCCUGACGGAGCAACGCCGCGUGAGCGAAGAAGGCCUUCGGGUUGUAAAGCUCAGUCACUCGGGAAGAGCGGACGAAGGAGUGGAAAGCCUUCGUCGAGACGGUACCGAGAGAGGAAGCCCCGGCUAACUACGUG